ensembl:snoRNA
UGCUGACCAGUCUUCGCCUCCCUCCCUCCCAGGGGUCCCGGGAGCCAGGGGAGAAGCUGCCGCAGAAGCUGAAGCA